ACAUGAGAGGUGUAGCAUAAGUGGGAGCUGUGGUGCCCUCGGGCGCCGCUGUCGACGGUGAAAUACCACUACUUUGAUAGUUUCUUUACUUACUCGGUGAGGCGGAGGGCGUGCGCGGUCGUCGAUUCGUCGCGGCCGCGUCACGGUGUUCUGGUUCCAAGGGUGUUUGGGUCGCGGGCGCCACUGGGAGGUGUGCGGGCGCGUCGGGGGGCGGCGCGUGUCGUCUCGUGCGGCCGCGUUCGCUUCGCGGCUCGUUCGCUCCGUCCCUAGCCCGUGUUUAUCCCACCCGAUCCGAUUCGAGGACACCGCCAGGCUGGGAGUUUGACUGGGGCGGUACAUCUGUCAAAGAAUAACGCAGGUGUCCUAAGGCCAGCUCAGCGAGGACAGAAACCUCGCGUGGAGCAAAAGGGCAAAUGCUGGCUUGAUCCCGAUGCUCAGUACGCAUAGGGACUGCGAAAGCACGGCCUAUCGAUCCUUUUGGCUUGGAGAGUUUCCAGCAAGAGGUGUCAGAAAAGUUACCACAGGGAUAACUGGCUUGUGGCGGCCUAAGCAGGGUCCAUAGGCGCAACGGUUCCGGCCCA
rnacentral:rRNA from 1 species